GCAAAGGGGAAGCAAGGCAGGCCUUACAUGGGAGCAGAAUAGAAAGAGAGAGGGGAAGAGCCACACUUUUAAACCAUCACAUCUCAUGAUAAUUCAAUCAUCAUCACAAAAACAGCAUGGGGAAAACGCCUCCGUUAUCCAAUCACCUCCUAUCAGUCCUGACACUAGAGCUAAGUUAACCACAGCCACCGGAAGUCAGGGACUAUGUUGGCUGAAUAACUCAUUUGUGCUCUUUUGCGUUUUUUUGAUGAUGUUGUGUAUAAAAUUAUAUUUUUUUGUUUAUGGCUUUUGGGAGGAACUUUGGAGAGAUUAAAAACUUCACUAUCAUGAU
rnacentral:lncRNA from 1 species